UACGAAGGUGGCAAGCGUUGUUCGGAUUUACUGGGCGUACAGGGAGCGUAGGCGGUUGGAUAAGCCCUCCGUGAAAUCUCCAGGCUUAACCUGGAAAGUGCAGAGGGGACUGUUCAGCUAGAGGAUGGGAGAGGAGCGCGGAAUUCCCGGUGUAGCGGUGAAAUGCGUAGAGAUCGGGGGGAAGGCCGGUGGCGAAGGCGGCGCUCUGGAACAUUUCUGACGCUGAGGCUCGAAAGCGUGGGGAGCAAACAGG
rnacentral:rRNA from 1 species